rnacentral:rRNA from 1 species
CAGUAGCCGCGGUAAUACGUAGGGUGCAAGCGUUAAUCGGAAUUACUGGGCGUAAAGCGCACGCAGGCGGUCUGACAAGUCAGAUGUGAAAUCCCCGGGCUUAACCUGGGAACUGCAUUUGAAACUGUCAGGCUGGAGUCUUGUAGAGGGGGGUAGAAUUCCAGGUGUAGCGGUGAAAUGCGUAGAGAUCUGGAGGAAUACCGGUGGCGAAGGCGGCCCCCUGGACAAAGACUGACGCUCAGGUGCGAAAGCGUGGGGAGCAAACAGGAUUAGAUACCCCUGUAGUCCCUGUCUCUUAUAA